rnacentral:rRNA from 1 species
GACGAACGCUGGCGGCGUGCUUAACACAUGCAAGUCGAACGGAAAGGCCCUGCUUUGUUGGGGUGCUCGAGGGGCGAACGGGUGAGUAACACGUGAGUAACCUGCCCCUGACUGUGGGAGAACUUCAUGAAACUGGGGCUAAUACCGGAUAGGAGCUCCUGCUGCUUGGUGGGGGUUGGAAAGUUUCGGCGGUUGGGGAUGGACUCGCGGCUGAUCAGAUUGUUGGUUGGGUAGUGGCUGAGCAAGGCUUGGCGCGGUAGCAGGGCUGAGCGGGUAAGAGGCUCAAUUGGGACUGAGAUGAGGCACAGACCAGUCCGGGACGCAGGAGUGGGGAAUAGUGUAUUAUGGGAGGAAGGCUGAUGUGGUCACGCCGCGUGGGGGAUGAGGGGCUGCGGGUUGUAUUCCGAUUUCGCUUGUGACGAAGCGAGAGUGACGGUACCGGGUGAAGAAGCACCGGCUAACUACGUG